GGGAGACCGACGCGAAGAGGAAAAGAGAAAAAAAUCUCAAUUGAUCGCCUCCGCCGCUACACAUCCACGCCGUCGAGAAGCACUUCGGCACCGCCGCGGCCGGUAGCGAAGACUUCGGCGGCCUCUUCUCCGCCGACACCGACGACCAGAUCGCCCUCGAAUUCCCAACCUGUCCGCCCUAGAACCGGCGCCGCCGCGGCCGGCAGCGACGACUUCGGCGGCCUCUUCUCCGCCGACACCGCCGACCAGCUCGCCCUCGAGUUCCCCACCUGCAACCACUUCGAUGGGUUCCAGAAGGCGACCAUGGAGAUGGUGAGCAACAAGAAGGGGACGAACACGCUCUCCUUCAUCUUCGACAAGGCGUCAUCGUCGCCGCCGAGUCCCGGGCCAGCAUGGGCGGGUACACAUGGUUCGGUCUUGGUACUAUGUUGA
rnacentral:rRNA from 1 species